rnacentral:lncRNA from 1 species
ACCCUUGACCAUUUAUUCCUGCAUUAUAACCACCAGAUCCAAAGCACACGCCAGAUUUGAAACCAUUCCCAUAUUGACCAUAGAGUUUGUUGGAAUACAUCCUAUUCAUAUAUCCAUGAGUUGAACCCAUGCCUGAUGCCAGACCGGGGUGCUGCCAUCCCUGACAAAUCAAACAAAAUCAUCCAUGAGAAAAAAUACACUAUAAAUGAAUGUUUGUGAUUGGAAAAACAAUGAAUGUUCAAUAAAUGAGUCUGAAAAUAUUAUGAAAAAUCAAAAGUCAAAAACAAAACUUAAUAUAGCCCAGCUUUGAUAUACAGGUUACCAAUCAAAGAUGAUAUUAUAGAAAUGAAGAAUCAGAGGGUAGACUGACAAUGAAAUCAACUUAAGUUAUCACAAAUUGAACAAAUAAGUAAUAGAAUGAAGGAGAAGGAUUUAACCAACUGAAUAAGUUUAUUUUUCUGAAUCAAAAGUUAGCUUAUUUGAGAAGGAUAUUAUGAGUAGGUUAUGAAGAAUAAGUUGGGAGACCCAAUCCAGAAUCACCAAUUUAGUAAAAAAUAUGUAAUAGAUGGAAUGUGGAAGAUCAUAGAUGGCAUACCAUGAAAUGAGAAUUUUGAUGGAAAUUCUGAUUUCUUGAAGAUGGAGCAUUGCUAGCCUUUGAAAAUGAAGAAGAAAUAUCAGUGUUCCUAUACAGGCCAUCGGAAAGUACAGAACUAUCCAGCAACGGGAUAUCAGGCUGUAACCUAUCAAAACAAGAUCUCAGAUCCUUGUAACCAGAAGCAGGAAUGCCCUUUGUAUAACUACCCCUUCCAUAUGAAUUUUGAUACUUAGGUUUGUAAGGA